rnacentral:sRNA from 1 species
CCUCUUCGACCUGCUGCGGGCAGAUAAAGUGAAUGUGAGAGUCGAUGCCGCCCGCGGUCAGAAUCUUGCCUUCGCCGGAGAUGAUUUCGGUGCCGGGGCCAAUCACGAUUUCAACGUCGGGCUGGGUAUCCGGGUUGCCUGCUUUGCCAAUCGCGGCGAUGCGGCCGUUUUGAAUCCCCACAUCGGCUUUGACGAUGCCCCACCAGUCUAAAAUCAGCGCGUUGGUGAUAACGGUGUCCAUGACCGUAUCAUCGGCGCGCUGGCUCUGGCCCAUGCCGUCGCGGAUG